rnacentral:rRNA from 1 species
UACGUAGGGUGCGAGCGUUGUCCGGAAUUAUUGGGCGUAAAGAGCUCGUAGGCGGUGUGUCACGUCGGCCGUGAAAACCUGCAGCUUAACUGUGGGCGUGCGGUCGAUACGGGCAUCACUGGAGUUCGGCAGGGGAGACUGGAAUUCCUGGUGUAGCGGUGAAAUGCGCAGAUAUCGUAAGGAAGACCAGUGGCGAAGGCGGGUCUCUGGACAGUUCCUGACGCUGAGGCACGAAGGCCAGGGGAGCAAACGGG